UCUUUUUCUUUUGUCUCCCCUUUUUCUUCAAAAUUCUCCCAAGAGUGGGAGGGAGAUAGCGUAGAGGCGAGGCAGUCUGAGUGAUUGCAUCUCCCACCCAAACGUUCACAUCUCAAUCAAUCUAAUCGAAAGCCAGGGUGAAGGAAGAAGAAGAAGAAGCAGAGGAAGAAGAAGCGGAAGAGGCAGAUAUGGGAUGGCUGUCCAACAAGAUCAAGAGGGACCGACUCAAGCGUGGGGAUCACAUCUACUCUUGGCGUCACUUGUACCUCUACGCUCACCACGGAAUAUACGUCGGUAAAGGGAAGGUUAUUCACUUCACUCGAGGGGCAGGACACGAAAUCGGCAGGGGUACUGUGUUAGACCCCAUCAUUUCGAGCUCAUGUCCCCCUCCUCCUGUCGGUACACAAUGCCAGAUAUGUGGAGAUCAGUCGAGACUUGAUGGUGUCAUCUCUUCCUGCAUCGACUGCUUCCUUUCAGGUGGAAACCUCUACCUCUUUGAGUACGGCGUGUCCCGUGCUUUCCAUCUUGCUAGCCCUCGAGGGACUUGCACCCUUGCGGAAUCCGACCCCCCUGAAGAUGUGCUUCACCGUGCCUUUUACCUCCUCCAGAAUGGCUUUGGAGGCUACAAUCUUUUCAAGAACAACUGUGAGGACUUUGCUAUCUACUGUAAAACGGGUCUGCUUGUGGUGACAGUAUGUAUCGGAGGCCGAAGUGGGCAAGCAGCAGCUUUUCAGGCUGCUAAAAGUGCUGUCGGGUCCUUUCCACUUACAUUCUUGACGGUCCGUGUUACUGGCCUGGCAGUUGGUGGUCUGGCAGUUGGUGGUCUGGCAGCUGGUGGUCUGGCAGCUGUGAGUUAUAGCAAGUAUUGCGUCAGUCGUUUGGCCUCUGACGUUGGGUUUCGCCAUGAUGUGGUUAAAGUACCGGCCGAAAGACUUGUGGGUCUACUUCAUUUAUGUGAUCCCCAAGCUGCUGUGGAUAGUCCCACUCCCAGUCGUAUUCUCAUAGCCGAGAUUGACUAAAGAUUGCACGCUGCAAUUUGCCGGCAGUCUCCACCAGAACUUUGCCGGCAGUGGAGAUGAAAACACUCUGCAAAAUUUUAGCAACACUUGAAGGGCUGGCCAUGGUCACGGAAGACAGACAUAGAGCUGGCUAUGGUCGAGCGAGAUUGAAGGACGUGAGCAUCAUUAAGGCACAAUGAGCGUCGUUUGACCCUUGCCAUGGUUGACUGAGGGCCACCAACCAACCCUCACAAGCUGAGGCAAGGGCUGUGCAGAUCGUCGCUCAUAAUAAACAUCAUUUCAUGGAACUUUCUUCAAUAUAGGCCAAGGAACGAAUGGUGCAAAUGCGACAAAUUCCAUGUCCGAGCCUUGUCUACUAUGCAGAAUACAAGUGGAGCCAUACCUUACGCAUGCUAAUACAUGUAGACAGGGCAGAAAGAAAGCGAAGAUGAAGAAAGGAUUCGGGGGUUGCAAGAAUGGCGGGCGACAGAUCACGGGAGAAGGUGGGGUAGGGAAGGUUUCAAUGGCGUCCAAUCCAAUCCCCACCGUCCAUCCGCAGCUCCCCGAUUGCCUUCCCUCCAGAAAAUAAACCCCUCCCUCUCUCUACUUUAAAAAAGAAAAAUUGUAAAUUUAAUUAACAGCCCGGUACAUGCGGGCCGGGUCAGAUAUCGGGCUUUCGAAUCAUCGCUCGCAGCUGUUCAACGAAUUCAAAAAUGUUAAAUGUUGUUCUUACAAUGUCUGGGCUUGAACGGACCUAUUUAAGGUUGUUUCGGAGUAUUCGACGUGGAGACCAAAAAUGAAUUACUUACCAUUC